AGCUGCGAGAGCCACAUGUUUGAGUGGCGGCCUACGCCCACGUGGUGUGGGCUCGGCGGCCUCGUCGGCCAUCCGUCAGGCGCCGCGGGCCUGCGACACAGUCACAGCUCGCGCUGGCCGUUUUACCCUCGCAGUCGCGGCGGGCUCGCACGCAGGGUGGCUCCUGCUCGAGAUCAUAUCAGAGUCCAAUUCGAGGGCAGACGCGGCGUGCCCGAGGCUUAUCUCAUGUGCGGCAUGGCCACUCUACCCUUCAGAGCAACAGUGAGCUGUCCUGAAGGCGCAACGCCAGCCUAACAGGCUACCUCUGAGGGCUCAAAGCGAUCAGAUUGGCCGCUUGCACGGGCUCGCCGUCGGCCGUUUCGCAAGGGGAGUCAGAACACAGCAGCAGCUCGAGUCAUCACAGGCAUGGCCUCGCGCCAGCAUCCUGCGUGCACGCAGAGCCUAGUCGAAGGCGACAGAUCGCCGAGAAUGAGGACCGUAAUUUCGCUUCUCCUCCAACAUGCUGGUAAGAGCCCAUCGCCCAUCAUGAUGAAUCAAAUGCUCUCCGAGCUCUGAAGCUUUCCAUGCGUCCAGCGUGAACCAGCGCACCGUUCAGUCGUUGAGCUGAUUUGGUUUCCGCCUUCGACUGACUCGGGGGGCAUGCAUCAGAUCACAACACAGCUCGGGCACCCUGUCUGUAGUUCGUGUUGAUGCUGCUUUCCUGAACCUGAAAGUGUCAGGUCUGUGCAUAUUUGUUUCAGUUCGAAGCUACGGCUAAAAGACAUGAAAAUUCAGUUCUGACUCA